rnacentral:lncRNA from 1 species
UCAUGUAAAUCAGUUUGUCUUCUGAAUCUGGAAAAAGUGCUUUCCAGAAAUAGUGAGCAGAAAGGUUUCCAGAGUGAGGGGACUCACUCUGGAUAGAAAAAAUAAUUUUUUUCUCAGACAGAAAAAAUAAUUUCUGGCUCAGAAAGCCAGACAAACUGCUCACAAUGACCAAAUGAAACACCAAUUACAAGCUAAAUGAACAAGAACCAGAAUAGACAGAAACUGGUAUUGCAAAAAAGACAUUGCCACUAUACAAAAAAAGCGAUUCCAUUUUCACCAAGAAAGCAAAGAGAAACUGGAUAGACAUUUAGGUCUAUCCUAAUUGUGGCAGUCAAGCUCUUCCCUCCCACGAUCACUGCCACCCUUCUCAGUCCUGUUGUGAGGUGGAGGUGUCAGAAAUAAAAGCAUCACAUCAUCACUGAAUCACCCUGAGCCUUAGAAAUGACUUCAGUAGGGUUUAGGGCAGAAAUGUUUAAGCCAGGUAUUAUAAGAGCUCAAGUGACAUUGUGAAAAUCUCAUAAGAAAAUUUUUUUAAUCCACUUCCUUCUUAAGUUAAAUGUGUUCUGCAGAGGGGAACAGGCCACAAAAUCCUCUUCUCUCCAGGGGGCUCCCAAUCCAGAUCUGUAGGAAUUCACUCCACCAUGGUGUGAGCUGACUAAAGGUUAAUGGGAGGGGUGAGCUGGGGAUGGGAGAUGGAUAAAAUCAUAUUUUGAGCCAAAAAACAAGUCAGAGUUAGGUGACCUUUUCACAAAGUGGCACCAAGAGAGGACAAUACUGGAAGGUGCAGGACCCA